rnacentral:rRNA from 1 species
GAGUUUGAUUCAUGGCUCAGGACGAACGCUGGCGGCGUGCCUAAUACAUGCAAGUAGAACGCUGAAGAGAGGAGCUUGCUCUUCUUGGAUGAGUUUGCGAACGGGUGAGUAACGCGUAGGUAACCUGCCUUGUAGCGGGGGAUAACUAUUGGAAACGAUAGCUAAUACCGCAUAACAAUAGGUGACACAUGUCAUUUAUUUGAAAGGGGCAAUUGCUCCACUACAAGAUGGACCUGCGUUGUAUUAGCUAGUAGGUGAGGUAACGGCUCACCUAGGCGACGAUACAUAGCCGACCUGAGAGGGUGAUCGGCCAUACUGGGACUGAGACACGGCCCAGACUCCUACGGGAGGCAGCAGUAGGGAAUCUUCGGCAAUGGGGGCAACCCUGACCGAGCAACGCCGCGUGAGUGAAGAAGGUUUUCGGAUCGUAAAGCUCUGUUGUAAGUCAAGAACGAGUGUGAGAGUGGAAAGUUCACACUGUGACGGUAGCUUACCAGAAAGGGACGGCUAACUACGUGCCAGCAGCCGCGGUAAUACGUAGGUCCCGAGCGUUGUCCGGAUUUAUUGGGCGUAAAGCGAGCGCAGGCGGUUUGAUAAGUCUGAAGUUAAAGGCUGUGGCUCAACCAUAGUUCGCUUUGGAAACUGUCAAACUUGAGUGCAGAAGGGGAGAGUGGAAUUCCAUGUGUAGCGGUGAAAUGCGUAGAUAUAUGGAGGAACACCGGUGGCGAAAGCGGCUCUCUGGUCUGUAACUGACGCUGAGGCUCGAAAGCGUGGGGAGCGAACAGGAUUAGAUACCCUGGUAGUCCACGCCGUAAACGAUGAGUGCUAGGUGUUGGAUCCUUUCCGGGAUUCAGUGCCGCAGCUAACGCAUUAAGCACUCCGCCUGGGGAGUACGACCGCAAGGUUGAAACUCAAAGGAAUUGACGGGGGCCCGCACAAGCGGUGGAGCAUGUGGUUUAAUUCGAAGCAACGCGAAGAACCUUACCAGGUCUUGACAUCCCGAUGCUAUUUCUAGAGAUAGAAAGUUACUUCGGUACAUCGGUGACAGGUGGUGCAUGGUUGUCGUCAGCUCGUGUCGUGAGAUGUUGGGUUAAGUCCCGCAACGAGCGCAACCCCUAUUGUUAGUUGCCAUCAUUCAGUUGGGCACUCUAGCGAGACUGCCGGUAAUAAACCGGAGGAAGGUGGGGAUGACGUCAAAUCAUCAUGCCCCUUAUGACCUGGGCUACACACGUGCUACAAUGGUUGGUACAACGAGUUGCGAGUCGGUGACGGCAAGCUAAUCUCUUAAAGCCAAUCUCAGUUCGGAUUGUAGGCUGCAACUCGCCUACAUGAAGUCGGAAUCGCUAGUAAUCGCGGAUCAGCACGCCGCGGUGAAUACGUUCCCGGGCCUUGCACACACCGCCCGUC